AAACCUAAAAUAUUUAUCCCUUCCUUCCUCGCAAUAACCCCUCUGAGGACAACCACAAAAUUGAUAAGGAGGACACAAAGAAACUGACUGACCUUCACUCUCCUAAGAUUGGUCAAACUGUGCCCGAGAAUUAUCACCACCUGGAUGAUGCCUGUCUCCUGGCUAAUAAGAAGCCCUACUAGAAAAGGAACCAGAACUCUCCUACUUAUUUUUAUGUCACUUGCCACUAUUUCUACCACUCUAAGACUGACCACCUCCCUAAUUAGAAAACCUGCU
rnacentral:lncRNA from 1 species